rnacentral:rRNA from 1 species
AUACGGAGGGCGCAAGCGUUGCCCGGAAUCACUGGGUGUAAAGGGUGCGUAGGCGGGGCUGUAAGUCAGAGGUGAAAGCCCUCGGCUCAACCGGGGAAUUGCCUCUGAUACUGCAGCUCUUGAGUCCCGGAGAGGCCGCCGGAAUUCCUGGUGUAGCGGUGAAAUGCGUAGAUAUCAGGAGGAACACCGGAGGCGAAGGCGGGCGGCUGGACGGGGACUGACGCUGAGGCACGAAAGCGUGGGGAGCAAACAGGAUUAGAAACCCUAGUAGUCC